rnacentral:rRNA from 1 species
AGAGUUUGAUCCUGGCUCAGGAUGAACGCUAGCGGCAGGCUUAAUACAUGCAAGUCGAGGGGCAGCGGGGGUAGCAAUACCUGCCGGCGACCGGCAAACGGGUGCGGAACACGUACACAACCUUCCUAUAAGUGGGGGAUAGCCCAGAGAAAUUUGGAUUAAUACCCCGUAAUAUUAUUUAGUGGCAUCAUUAGAUAAUUAAAGCUCCGGCGCUUAUUGAUGGGUGUGCGUCUGAUUAGGUAGUUGGUGAGGGUAACGGCCCACCAAGCCUUCGAUCAGUAACUGGUGUGAGAGCACGACCAGUCACGCGGGCACUGAGACACGGGCCCGACUCCUACGGGAGGCAGCAGUAAGGAAUAUUGGUCAAUGGACGCAAGUCUGAACCAGCCAUGCCGCGUGGAGGAUGAAGGUCCUCUGGAUUGUAAACUUCUUUUAUCUGGGAAGAAAUGCAUUUUUUCUAAAGUGUUUGACGGUACCAGAUGAAUAAGCACCGGCUAACUCCGUGCCAGCAGCCGCGGUAAUACGGAGGGUGCAAGCGUUAUCCGGAUUCACUGGGUUUAAAGGGUGCGUAGGUGGGCAGGUAAGUCAGUGGUGAAAUCUCCGGGCUCAACCCGGAAACUGCCAUUGAUACUAUCAGUCUUGAAUAUCGUGGAGGUAAGCGGAAUAUGUCAUGUAGCGGUGAAAUGCUUAGAUAUGACAUAGAACACCAAUUGCGAAGGCAGCUUACUACCCGAAUAUUGACACUGAGGCACGAAAGCGUGGGGAUCAAACAGGAUUAGAUACCCUGGUAGUCC